rnacentral:tRNA from 1 species
GCGCCCGUAGCUCAGGGGAUAGAGCGAGGGAUUCCUAAUCCCUAGGUCGCAGGUUCGAUUCCUGCCGGGCGUACCA